CGCUCGCGCCGCCCUCGGGGCGGUGCCCGGGCGGUAAAUCCUGAGGGGAGCGGGCGCAGGGCAGCAAAACCCCGCGGUGUGCGGCUGUGCAAGUUACCGCAGUAGGAGGAAUUUAGCGCUCCACGUGGAGCGGGUAAUUUCCAAACCAGGAGGAAAUAAUGGUGUACAUGACCUAAUUUUCCCACUUAAAAUAGAAAGCAUCAAUUUAUUCCUACUCUGAAGAAGUUCCAAGAAAUCUUCUGUGACAUACUAUAAAUUUUAAUUGAGACUGAUUGCCCUGAGGUGGCUUCCAAUCUUUGUUGUGUGGCUAUUGCAAUAUGUGUUGGAGCCAGCUCAUACGUAUGAAGUGCAAUAUGGCUAUGGACACCCAGGAACUGGCUUCACAAAGAGGAGGUAGCAAGUGCUGUCCGAGGCAGCAGGACAGGUGGUGCGAAGGAUCAUGCAAGCUCACUUUUUGCCCACAUUGUGAAAAUCCAACAAAUGUGUGAUCAGUCGACAGAAUGGUGCUCUAACCAGUGACUGAGGCAGUCAACAGAAUUAAACUGCUGGGUGUAUGUUUUUCCUACAAUGAGCUUUCUCCUUACACUUUCUUAGCAAGCAUUCAGCAGACAAACACCAAGUGGAGCUUGUCCUUUUAAGAACCACGUAGCAAACUUCGCAACAUACCUUGGUAUCUGGUAGAGUAAGUGCACUCCACAGCACAGGCUGUGGAUUUCAUUGAUUCCACUCAUGCUGAUCUCUGUGAUGCUGUACCUCAUGUGGGGCAUUCCAAUUCCUUAUCAUUUCACAACAGUUGAUCUUACCUGCUUCAGUAUUGUUUCUGUGCCACAGGUAUUAACUCCAUUUUUUUAUUUGUCUGGUUGUUUGAAAUAAGAAGCACAUAAAGGCUAAAGUAA